AGAAUCAACGCUGGCGGCGUGCCUAACACAUGCAAGUCGCACGAGAAAGGGUAGCAAUACCUGAGUACAGUGGCGCACGGGUGAGUAACACGUGAAUAAUCUACCUCCGAGUGGGGAAUAACUGAGAGAAAUCUUAGCUAAUACCGCAUAAUACCCACGGGUCAAAGCAGUAAUGCGCUUGGAGAGGAGUUCGCGGCAGAUUAGUUAGUUGGCGGGGUAAUGGCCCACCAAGACGAUGAUCUGUAUCCGGCCUGAGAGGGCGCACGGACACACUGGAACUGAAACACGGUCCAGACUCCUACGGGAGGCAGCAGUGGGGAAUUUUUGCGCAAUGGGGGAAACCCUGACGCAGCAACGCCGCGUGGAGGAUGAAGCCCCUUGGGGUGUAAACUCCUUUCGAUCGGGAAGAUAAUGACGGUACCGAUAUAAGAAGCCCGGCUAACUUCGUGCCAGCAGCCGC
rnacentral:rRNA from 1 species